rnacentral:misc_RNA from 1 species
CCGGAACGGCGCCGGCUGCUGCUGGAUUCAGAGACUUCAGAGAGAACGGAAUCUGGGAGAUUCAGAGGGAAUGACCAUCGCAAAUUCGAGAUUCAGAGGAAGAACGGCGCUGGCUGCUGCUCGAUUCGGAGACUUCAGAGAGAACGGAAUCUGGGAGAUUUAGAGGGAACGACCAUCGCAAAUUCGAGAUUGAGAGAGAACGAACUCUGGGAGAUUUGUUACCUGGACGGCGGCGAAGACCACUGGCUGCCGGCGUCCGAGGAGGAGGAAGGACUGGGUGGCGGCGCGGCACUGGCGUCCGAGGAGGAGGAAGGCUCGAGCGGCGCCGAUUCAGGAGAUCUUUCAGCGGAACCGCACGACUCGGGCGAUUGAUUCCGGCUAGGGUUGGAGGGUUUGAGUUUUCUAUACGGUGGUAUCCCA